GCGGGGUGGGGCCGGGGCCUGGAUGGCCUCUUUUUUUCUGGCCCUAAUGACGGACCUUUUCUCUUGGGCCUCUUUUUGCAGUCGCUCCUUAACUGCCCACAAUGGGCGCCUUGUUUCAUCCAUUCUCGUCAACUCUCAGGAAAGGGGCUCAACAUUUGUGUGACCAACAGAGAAAUUAGUAUCAAGAGAAGGAGUACAGCUGGAGGUACUUUCCAGAGACAGGACUGAAAUAGAGCCAAUGCAGAAUGGUUCAGAGAAAGCCAUUGUUGUGGUGAAUCUUGGAAGGUGUACUUAUAGAGGAAAGUGGCCUGGCAUCCCCAAAGAUAUAAUAGACCCCACUGAAAGAGAUAACUCCUUCUUCACUGAACAAGAACUCCCAUCCAUAGCAGAGGAAUCUAUUUGCAUCCAUGCCACCUAUCCUGAUUUGAGCCUCCUGCUCCAUAAAGGAACCCUUAGCGCCCAUCCCGAGGAAGACAAACCAGAUGCCGACCUGCUCCACUUAGCGAAGAGAGGCGCCGAAAAUCCAGCGGCACUUUGGGGAGAAGCUCUCCAUUCGAAUCGAGUGAGGCUUCAUCUAGGCUGACUAGCUGAAAAGAGUCACAUGACCGGGCUUUCCCUUUGCGGGGAAACGAAACUUUGAAAAGGCAGCUGGCCUGACCCAGCUGUGCUCAUGCGUCCUCAUGCUUGACUGCUUGUUUUGCUUCUAUUUCUCCCAAAUCUGUGAGUGUAUCCACAUUCCACGCUGUAAAAUUCAUACACUUUGCAGCACUGUGCUGUCCAAGGUUUUCAUGGACAGAAUCACUGGGUUGUUUUGAGUUUUCCGAGCUGUAUGGCCAUGUUCCAGAAGCAUUCUCUCCUGAAGUUUCACCCAUAUCUAUGGGACAUCCUCAGAGGUUGUGAGGUCUGUUGGAAACUAAGCAAGGGAGUUUUAUAUAUCUGUGGAAGGUCCAGGGUGGGAGAAAGAACUCUUGUCUGUUGGAGGCAAGUUGUAAUUAAUCACCUUGAUUAUCAUUAAUGGCCUUGCAAG
rnacentral:lncRNA from 11 species